UGCCAGCCGCCGCGGUAAGACAGAGGGUGCAAUCGUUGCUCGGAAUCACUGGGCGUAAAGCGCGUGUAGGCGGACUGGCAAGUCAGGCGUGAAAUCCCUGGGCUCAACCUAGGAACUGCACCUGAAACUGUUGGUCUGGAGUGCUGGAGAGGGAAGCGGAAUUCCUGGUGUAGAGGUGAAAUUCGUAGAUAUCAGGGGGAACACCAGUGGCGAAGGCGGCUCACUGGCUCGAUACUGACGCUGAGGUGCGAAAGCGUGGGGAGCAAACAGGAUUAGAUA
rnacentral:rRNA from 1 species